rnacentral:rRNA from 1 species
AACGAACGCUGGCGGCGUGGAUUAGGCAUGCAAGUCGAACGCGAAAUGCGGAGGGGUAACUCUCUGCAAAGUAGAGUGGCGAACGGGUGAGUAACGCGUGAGAAACCUGCCUUCAUCAGGGGGAUAACACUCCUAACGGAGUGCUAAUACCGCAUGAGACCACGGGAUCGCAUGGUCCUGAGGUCAAAGGUGGCCUCUAUUUAUAAGCUACCGGAUGAAGAUGGUCNCGCGUCCCAUUAGCUAGUUGGCGGGGUAAUGGCCCAACCAAGGCGACGAUGGGUAGCUGGUCUGAGAGGAUGGUCAGCCACACGUGGGACUGAGAUA